AUUGAACGCUGGCGGCAUGCCUUACACAUGCAAGUCGAACGGCAGCACGGGUGCUUGCACCUGGUGGCGAGUGGCGAACGGGUGAGUAAUACAUCGGAACAUGUCCUGUAGUGGGGGAUAGCCCGGCGAAAGCCGGAUUAAUACCGCAUACGAUCUACGGAUGAAAGCGGGGGCCCUUCGGGCCUCGCGCUUUAGGGUUGGCCGAUGGCUGAUUAGCUAGUUGGUGGGGUAAAGGCCUACCAAGGCGACGAUCAGUAGCUGGUCUGAGAGGACGACCAGCCACACGGGGACUGAGACACGGCCCAGACCCCUACGGGAGGCAGCAGUGGGGAAUUUUGGACAAGGGGCGAAAGCCUGAUCCAGCAAUGCCGCGUGUGUGAAGAAGGCCUGCGGGUUGUAAAGCACUUUUGUCCGGAAAGAAAUCCUUGGCCCUAAUACGGUCGGGGGAUGACGGUACCGGAAGAAUAAGCACCGGCUAACUACGU
rnacentral:rRNA from 1 species